CAAUAUCUCUUCUUUUUUUUUUUUAGCUUUUGGCGGACACAACAUCUUUGUAUGUGGUGCUGAUGAUCGAACCCGGGCCGCACGCAUGCCAGGGAGCGUGCUACCACUUGAGCCACAUCCCCAGCCCCAAAUGUUUAACUCUUGUUGUCUUUAGAUCCUAUGACAUUUGUGCCAUGGUGGGCUUCUAUUUUUGGAAGGCUAGAAAUCCCUUAUUGGUAAAUGUCCUUGGCAGUGUUUAAAUUUCACUCUGUUUAAUUUAAGGGGCACUUAACCACUGAGACACAUCCCCAGCCCUUUUUUUAAAAUUUUUUAUUUGGAGACAGAGUCUCACUAAGUUGCUUAGGACCUCUAAGUAUCUGAAACUGGAUUUGAGCUUAUGAUUCUUUGGCCUCAACCUCCCAUAUGUCACUAAGGAAACCAGAAUAAAGGAGAAGGACUGCAGCACAGGCAAGAACAACUUGUGCCCACUGCAGGAGGAAUUGUUUGCACUGUCCCAACCUCAAGAUUUAGAGAAGAAGUAACCCCCGCACAGGCUGAAAUCUGCAGACACCACAUAAACCUGUUUUCCAACCUAGGUACUAGCAUUUUCAGUUAGGUUGCCACUUUUAGUUAGUAAGGUUCAGCAUUAUGAGAUUAAAGAUGUCAUUGGUAAGAAAACAUUUUGGCUAUUGAGAAGGGGAAGGAAUAAUGUAAAAACUCCUAAACUUUUCAAGUUGUGGAUAACAGUAUUGUUUUUUUCUGUUUCUAGGAUGAACCAGUCAGGGAUUUCAGGUUAAAGUGUUAUUUGUGUAUCAAGAUAUUUUACUGUUUUUCUUUAUGGUAUAUAAUUUAAAAGUAUGUAAAACGGCCAGAUGCAGUGGUGCAUGCCUGUAUUCCCAGCUACUUGGGAGUCUGGUGCAGGAUGAUCUCAAGUUCUAGACCAUCCUGGGCAACUUUAGUGAGACCCUGUCUCAAAUCUAAAAAAUUUAAUUACUACGGGUGGGGUGUGUGUGUGUGUGUAACUCAGUGAUAGAAUACUUGCCUAGCAUGCAUAAGGAUCUGAAUUCAAAUCCCAGUAAUUAAUAAAAUAGUGUGUAAAAUGGCUUAGCUUAGUGUGUUUAGUUUUAGCUUUUAGAAAAUGUCAUUAUUUUUAUUAUGCUAGAAAGAUGAGAAGGCAGCCAGUGUUUUGUAUUAAAUUGUUUCUUCUAGCCUUACAGGUUCUAGUUUGUUUUAUCAUCUUCAAAUUCUAAGGUCAAAGAAUCUAUCCUCUUUCAUCUUCGAUUCCUACAUUCAAGCUUUAAGAGGCAUUUAUCAUGAUCAUAUGAUUUCAACAACCGCAUUACUAUCAAUUGCCACAAGAUUGAUCUCUAUGUAGAUGAGGCCCAAGUAGGCAUCCCUUGGAUCUGGUAAUCACGGCACACUCGUUAGAUGAUAUAAGGGUGUUUAAUCAUCCUGGUAAUCUGGAUAAAGUCCCAGUUUCUCAGGUCUACUGUUAGUAACAAUAACCAGUCACCAAUAACACAUUUUAGGAAAAUUUAGUAGUUUCCAGUCCCCUCUUAAGAACAUACAUGCAAGACUGGGGAAUCACAUGUUACAGGUUGCUCUGAUAUGAAGCAUUUGUGAGAUUUGAGGUGGAAUACAAUUGAAAAGUCAUGUUCAACUUCAGGGCUGACACAUUCCAAAUAAAAUAUAUUCUUGUUGCUUGGUCCUGAGAAAUGAAAUUGAUUUAGAUUAUUUUUAAUAACAGACAAUAAGGUCUUUUCUUUUGGACAUUUAGAAGAAAAGCCCCUUUAAAAACCUAUGUAAUUGCUCCGACUUUUAUGUGUUCUCUGAAUUCUUUUUGUUUUUAACCAACAGAUUCUUUU
rnacentral:lncRNA from 1 species